rnacentral:rRNA from 1 species
ACUCCUACGGGAGGCAGCAGUGGGGAAUAUUGCACAAUGGGCGCAAGCCUGAUGCAGCCAUGCCGCGUGUGUGAAGAAGGCCUUCGGGUUGUAAAGCACUUUCAGUUGUGAGGAAGGUGGUGUCGUUAAUAGCGGCAUCAUUUGACGUUAGCAACAGAAGAAGCACCGGCUAACUCCGUGCCAGCAGCCGCGGUAAUACGGAGGGUGCGAGCGUUAAUCGGAAUUACUGGGCGUAAAGCGCAUGCAGGCGGCCUGUUAAGUCAGAUGUGAAAGCCC